UAGGUUUACAAGCUAAUAUACUAAAAUUGGAACAAUACUGGGAAAACGAGCAUGGAACCUAUGCAAGGAAGACGCACUCAUUCAUGAAACAAACCCUGGUUAG